rnacentral:rRNA from 1 species
GAGUUUGAUCCUGGCUCAGAUUGAACGCUGGCGGCAUGCCUUACACAUGCAAGUCGAACGGCAGCACGGGAGCUUGCUCCUGGUGGCGAGUGGCGAACGGGUGAGUAAUGCAUCGGAACGUAUCCUGGAGUGGGGGAUAACGUAGCGAAAGUUACGCUAAUACCGCAUAUUCUGUGAGCAGGAAAGCGGGGGACCUUCGGGCCUCGCGCUCUUGGAGCGGCCGAUGUCGGAUUAGCUAGUUGGUGAGGUAAAGGCUCACCAAGGCGACGAUCCGUAGCAGGUCUGAGAGGAUGAUCUGCCACACUGGAACUGAGACACGGUCCAGACUCCUACGGAGGCAGCAGUGGGAAUUUGGACAAUGGGGCAACCCUGAUCCAGCCAUGCCGCGUGAGUGAAGAAGGCCUCGGUUGUAA